ACUCCUACGGGAGGCAGCAGUAGGGAAUAUUGCACAACGGGCGAAAGCCUGAUGCAGCCAUGCCGCGUGUAUGAAGAAGGCCUUCGGGUUGUAAAGUACUUUCAGUCGUGAGGAAGGGUGUGUAGUUAAUAGCUGCAUAUCUUGACGUUAGCGACAGAAGAAGCACCGGCUAACUCCGUGCCAGCAGCCGCGGUAAU
rnacentral:rRNA from 1 species